AUUGAACGCUGGCGGCAUGCCUUACACAUGCAAGUCGAACGGCAGCACGGGGCAACCUGGUGGCGAGUGGCGAACGGGUGAGUAAUGCAUCGGAACGUACCUUUCAGUGGGGGAUAACGUAGCGAAAGUUACGCUAAUACCGCAUAUUCUGUGAGCAGGAAAGCAGGGGAUCGCAAGACCUUGCGCUGAUUGAGCGGCUGAUGUCAGUUUAGCUAGUUGGUGAGGUAAACGCUCACCAAGGCGACGAUCUGUAGCGGGUCUGGGAGGAUGGUCCGCCACACUGGAACUGAGACACGGUCCAGACUCCUACGGGAGGCAGCAGUGGGGAAUUUUGGACAAUGGGGGCAACCCUGAUCCAGCCAUGCCGCGUGAGUGAAGAAGGCCUUCGGGUUGUAAAGCUCUUUCGGCCGGGAAGAAAUCGCACGGGCUAAUACCCUGUGUGGAUGACGGUACCGGAAUAAGAAGCACCGGCUAACUACGUGCCAGCCGCCGCCGUAA
rnacentral:rRNA from 1 species